CAAAAGGAACAGUCAACUCUAGGUGAACGAGAUAUCUUCUCUGAAACUGAUUUGUCUGUUAUAACCUUGCAUGCCAAGUGAGGAAAACUGCAUAGAAAUAGUUGACAUUUUGGAAUAGUGUAACCAUAAUAGAUAUACUUUCUCAUAAAACAAAACCAUUAAGAAAUGACUUAACACAACUAACAACAAGGUUCAUGACUUGGAACAGGCCGAUAACUGAAGAAGGGUUAAAAAUAAAUAUUAUUAAUAUUUUCCUCUUAAAUAUCAGUCAGUGAAUUAAAGUUAACACAAAGGA
rnacentral:lncRNA from 1 species